CUCUUUAACAAUUCAAAAUUGCCCUUUGACUUUGAUGCCACUGUAUCCAUCACUCGAUGAAGGUCUAAAGUUGUCGAAUACCAGUUCAAGGCCGUUAAAGCAGACUAUCAAGAUGAACAUCAAUGCUAAGGCCCCAUCAACUUCAACCUCUUCUCUUCCACUCUCCAAAUUGAAAUCUUUCCAUGUAUACAACAUUGAGGGGUUGGACACUCACACGCUAGAUGAGUGCCUGCAACAUCUCACCAGCCUCAAAAGAUUAACAAUUGGAGAUUGCAAGGAGGUUGAUUUAGAGGGCAUGCAAUGGGAACCCCUUAAGAAUCUCUCUCAUUUGGAGAUUGAUAAUAUUCCAAAGCUGGUGUCUCCCUCCAUUUGGCUUCAACAUCUUGUUCAAUUGCAAACAUUAAAAAUUCAUAACUGCAAUGGAUUGAGGUCACUGCUUCCUGUGUUCCAACAUCUCACUUUCCUUGAAGAGUUCGAAGUAAAGGACUGCAAGAAGCUGGAGUUAUCUGGAGCUGGCAUCCAAAUAUUCCAAGAUCAUACUAGCCUACGCUCUCUACGGCUGGAACAUAUUCCAAAGUGUCGGCAUCUUCCGAAGUGGCUUCAACAUCUAACAAAUCUGCAAGGGCUUUAUCUCGUUAAUUUGCCCAAUUUAACAUCUCUUCCGGACGAGAUGCGUUGCCUAACCAAAUUGCAAAUUUUAUACAUAAAUGGAAUUCCUCAGUUGGAGGAAAGAUGUCGGAAGGACAUUGGCGCUGAUUGGCAAAAGAUUGCUCACAUCCCCAUCAUUCGGUUGAUUCAGGUUGGUCCGUCUUUGUUAUUUAUUUAUUUUGAUGACCUUAUCUGUUUUUGAAGAAAAAUAAGAGUGGUAUAUUGAAUCUCCAAGUCAGGGGUCUGAUGCCAUUUUUCGUUGAAGUUGGAUACUGUUAAUUUCCUUGUUAAAAUCCCUUUGUUUUCAUCCUACUUUUUACUUAUCAUCUUUCAUAAUAUUUUUGCUGAUUUGUGCAGAAAGGCAUUGGAGAAAGGCAUUAGUGAACUUCAAUCAUUUUAUAUGCAUAAAAAGAGGUGCUAAUUUAUCUAUUUGCUUUUUACUUUUAAAUCAUAAGAAUAACUUGACAAUUGCUUCUAAUAAUUUAAUUCUAAAAAAUCAUUGAUGUGGAGAGAGAGGCCUAUGAAGCCUUCAAAUUGGUUGUACUAUAUGCUCUGCUUUCUUCAUUUAAGCACUUACUUAUCAUAUCUUUAUUUCAGAAUAUUUGGUGGUGAGAUUGAAGUUGAUAAAAUGUUUCAUUACUUAUAUAUCAACAGCAUUAUACUAAACACACAUAUGUGCAAAUAUAAGGCUGAUAAUAAUGGGAUUUGUAACAUAUUCUAUGUUGGCAUUUAUAAUUUUCAGGUUCAUUGAUGCUUUUGGAAGAGUCGUUGUUCAAGCAUGACAAUUGCCAGACAUACUGCAUUUGAAAAUUUAUUAUUUCACCUUACAUGGAGCUUAUUAAGAGCUUGAUUCAUAGUAGGAAAACCAUCUGAGCGUUGAAUGUGAAUUUUCACUUGCAUAGCUAAAAUGAGUUGGGAGAGAAUUUGCUUAAUUGUACAAAAGUGAGAUUGCAUCAAGUGUUUGAGGGGUUAAGCUUAAAUCAUUUCUUUGUACUAUGAAGUUCAUAGUGGAUUCAUCUUUGGGCAAAGCCCCGUAGACGUAGGACAAGUUCCGAACUGCGUAAACAUCUUAAUUGUGUUCUUUAUUUUCCUUGUUGCAUAAUAUGUACCAACUCAGGAAAAAACACAUUUUAAAUGUUCCAAACAGUAUUCAAAUGCAGGGAUGCACAAUUGAUUAUGAGACAAUAAUUGUUUUAGACGGUAUUUCACAUUUUUCAAUUAUGAUGCUUCCAAAAGAUGUCGAUGUCCUGGUUGUAUAUACAUGACACGUGUGUUGAUGAUUAUGUUGGCACACAUCAAAUUACAAGUUGAAUAACACCUUAUAAAGGCCUAUCAUGGCACAAGCCAAUAUUCCAAGCAUCUAAUUGUUAUUUUUCCCAUUGUUUUCCUUAUCAAAAUACAAGUAAUUUUCAACAAUGUAAUUAAAAUGUAAUUUUCAACAAGGUAGCGAAAUGUGGAAUUAAAUUUUUCAAAAAUUUUAAAGAACCUAAUGAGAAUUUCAAAAAAAAAGGGUCUAAUUAAAACUAACAAGACUAUUAAAGGGCUUAGUGAAGAUUUUAAAAAAAUUGAGGAGUUUAAUUAAAAUUUUCAAAAAAAUUGAAGGCUUAAUUCGAAUUUCCCAAAUUUGGAAAGGGGGAGGGGUAUGGAGAGCUCUGGCUCCCAUUGCCUUCUGCCUCGAGUAAUUUUUGAAACUAUAAAGAAAGUGUUGUGAUCUGUCCAUGGCAUUGUAACCUACGCUCUCUAUCACCGGCAAAAAUUCCAAAGUGUCGGCAUCUUCCGGAGAGGGUUGCAAUUUCUUUAUCUCUCUGAUUUGCCCAAUUUUAGAUCGCUUCUGAGAUGACCAGUUUGAAAUCUUUACAUAUACGACAAAUUCCUCAGUUGGAAGGACAUUGGCGCUGAUUGGCAUAAAAUUGCUCACAUCCCACGCAUUUGGUUGUAAUCAGGUUGAUGGAAAGGCAUUUGUGCAGUAACCCAUUGGAGAAAGGCAUUUGAGAACUUCAAUAAUUUGCAAGAGUUCCUCAGUUGAUGGAAGGACAUUGGUGCCGAUUGAUUUGUUGGCUUUUGAGGUCUUUGAUCUAUUAUUUAUCCUUCCUCCUUUAGCAGAUACAGGUGUCUGGAAGGGACUGUUGGAUAUGCUGGUAACUCCUGGACUGCUUUGUCCAUUGGCUAGACUCAUCAUUUUUGUCUGCUGCGCUUUUCCUUUUUAAUUGCUGAGAAAAAUCAGCAAUAAUUCAAAGUAGUGACAAUGGCAGGCAAAAUUACAAGGUCCCUUAGUAUCUGUGCAUGGUUAUAUCUACAUUAACAACCAAUUGAAUUGAAGAAAAUAAAAUAAAAAAGAGCAUAAGUUUAACAGAUGCAUAUGUAGGAGAGCUUGUAUAAGAAAACUUACUGUUAGUCAUAAGAACCAUCAGAAAUGCUUCACUACUUGAAGACAGAAUGAAAAAGGAAUAUAAUAUACGAACAUAAUUUUGCCUGACAAACUAUCAGACAUAUUAUACAUAAGGGGGAAAUAUGUAUAUCAACUGAAUCAUUUUUCAAACAUCCAUCAAAAGAACUAACACCCAUCAAGCUUUCUUCAUAUAGAGCACGGCAUUAAAUGUUUGGCUUUAAACCGAGAAUGGAGUAGCAUAACAUAACCUUCCUCUCUUACUAUAACAUUUAUAUUACGUAAAACUAACAUACUAUCAAUUGCAAUUAUAUUUGAUAGUACUAAAACUUAGUUUUCUCAAAUUAAGGCAUCAAAAUGUUAAAGUCAUCAGGUUUUGGACAUUGGAUGAGGCAAGCAUUCAUUAUAUUUCAACUUAGUUCAGCAAACGAGCACUUUAACCAUCAAAUACAUCAUCAAAAAACGGGAAUAGAUCACGUAUUAAAAUACAGACAUCACAAUAUCACUGCAGAAACAACUAAUGCUACUGAUAAUUUAUCCCCUAAGAAACUUACCCACCAUGAAAAGUUCUAUUUAUGAACAGAUCAAAAGAUCACACAAAAAAAUUAAGCAAACGACAUUAAGUGUUAAGUGAGAGUACAAUUCUCAUCAAAAUUGAAAUAAUAUACUACUAAUUACAUGAUAGCCACCAUUUUCAAAAGAGAAUUUUUGAACUCACUGGAAAUCUCACAAUAAUUGCUUCAACUUCUUGAUCGGCAACGAUUCCACGACUUUUACUAGGUGAAAAUCUGUGAUAAUCAUCGGGAUGAACAAACGGCGGGUUCGUCGAAGCGAAGGCCAGGUGACCACGUAUCGGCGGAACAACCGGAGGAACCGUCGAAGCUGGUGCUGUGGAAGCCGUAGGAGGAGGUUGAUACGGCAGCGUGGGACCAUCGCCGGACAUGGAGGUUUAUGAUUUCUAGGGGAAGGAGGUGGGGGUAUAAUUGGAAUUGGGGGAAUAGGAAGAGAGAGAAAGUGAGGGUUUUAGUUUAGACGUUAGAGAGAGAGUAGAAAACGAGGGAAAAGGGAGGGAAUCUUUUGUUCGGAUAAAUGUGGAGGGAAGUAUUUUGUACAUAAUUACAAUUUAUUUUUAUCUUUUUGAACUCUUAUCUUUUUCAAUUAUUCAAUUUCAUCCACAAUAAGAUUCAGAUACAUGUAUAAGGGUGAAAGUACCUGUAGUAUAGGGACUACAUCAAAUUAGUCUCAAUACUAUUAAAAAUGAUCAAAUAAAACCAAAUUACCAUAGAGUAAACAUUUAUUGCAUAAAAAUGUAUUAAAAUUUGUUAACUCUGAUAAUGUUAAUUCUGUUACAAUUUGAUAUAAUUUUAUUCUUUUUUAAUAAUGCAAGAAUAAAUUUGAUCUAUUUAAUAAUCAAGAGACUAAUUUGAUACAGUCUAUAAUAUGGGGACUUCCUAAAUACUUUAAGCUUUAUAAGUUGACCCUAUUUCACUAUUCAUUUAAUAUUAAAAAUUAAUGUUUUAAUAAUAUUUACACAUUUUUAUAAUUAAAUAUAAAUAAAAUGUUUUUAAUUAAUAAAGAGUAAAUCAAGUUGUAUUAAGUUUGCCCAAAGCAAAUAAUAAUAAUAAUAUCUUAUCAAAGAAUAACCUUCAAUCUGACCAAAUUGAAUGGGUUAAAUCAAGCAAGUAAUUAUAUUUUUACUGUGUGAAAUAAUAAAAUUUAUUUUUCAAUUUAUGUCUAAAUAAGUUUUUUUUUAUAGUUUUAUUUGUAUUUAGAUAAGUUUAUGGUUUUCUUUGGAUGUAUAAUUGGAUCAAUUCUAGUAAAAUUAAAAAUAACGUUGGGGUGAGAUUAGUUAUUGGAAUAGUUAGAUUGAAUAUCGUAGUGAUGUGAUAAUAACCAGUUUUGGAUAUAUAUUUGGAUUCAAUAACAAUUGUAGUAGUGAGGUGAGGUUAAAAAUGGAUAAAAACACCUCUUCCAUCCCUCUUUAAUUCAAUAUUUUGCAAAUUGGCCCUUCUAAAAAAAUAGAGUAAUUUAAUCCCUAUCAAUUUCAAAAGUGAACUAAGGACAAUUAACAAUAAUGUUAAUAUUUUUUGUCACUUGUAUAUAAUUUUGAUUAGUAUAAUCACAAAUUCAGUUCAUACAUAAUGUGUAAAUGUUGCAAUUUGAUUUAGUUAACCUAGAACUAAAUUGACAGAAUGUGUAAACUUUUAGGGCUAAAGUUAUUAUUAUACCAAUAAAAAUGUGUACAGAUGACAAAAAUAUUAACAUUGUGCUUAAUUAUUCUUAGCUACUAUAUUUCGAAAUUAACAAUGAUAAAAUUGCUCUAAAUUUUUUAGAAGGACCAAUUUGCUUGAGAUCAAAAUUGUAAGGGACCAGAAAGGUGUUUUCACCUUAAAUUGAUUAUUACGGAUGUUAAAUUAUUUAUAUUUAUAAAAUGAAAUAAUAUAACAUAUACUAAAUUUGCAAACAUGGUAAAUAAUAAAUUUAUUAAUAAAUAUAUUUUUAUUAAUUUUUUUAUUUAUUAUUACAUAUCUACUUAUUUAGAUUUAAUUCAUAUAAAAUUUGAUUAUGAAAAUUAUAUUUUUUCUUUGAAAUUAUUAUAAACUCAAAAUUCUAUACUUUAUAUAAAUGAAAAUAAUAAAAUAUAAUAAAAUUAUUUAUAUUAAAUAAUAAUUACAAAUAUAUUUAUGAUAAUAAAUUUACAUGUAUUUAAUAUAUCAUUAUAUAAAUAUUAAUUUGUAAUAUAUUUAAUUUUUAUAACAAUUAAAUAAUUAAAUUUAUAAUUAUCGUAUGAUAUGUACUUAUAUAACACCUCUAUAAGGUUAUAGUGAGAAAAAACAAUCUCAUUGCAAGUUAAAUUUUUUAAGAAAAUCUUUUAUGUCCAGUUUGGUGCAAUAAAAUCAAGUGAUACUUACCUCAAUUUGCUUAUCAUAUAUAUUAAUUUAAAUUUUAACAAUUAAUAAUUAAAUUCGAAUUAUAGUAAUACUAACCGAAAUUUCUCUCGAGUCGCUCCUUGUCCACCUUCUCCUUUCCUUUAUUGGUCAAUGACUCUUGCACGACAUUAGCUACGUAAUUAAACAAUUAAAAAUUAUUAAUACACAAUUUCAUCAAAAUAUUUCCAUUUAUACCUAAACUUUACCUAAAUUCUAAUUUAAUCCUUUAUCAAUACUAAUUUUAUUUUCCCAAUCUAACUCCAUAUUCUUUCUCAAUUCUUACUAUAAACUCAUUUUAACUCUUCAAUUUCACCAUAAAUCCCUAAUUUCUGGAUUCUUUUAAUUUAGUCCCUACUAAUCAAAACUUACACUUUAUUUUACAAUUAAAUCCUUUACUAACUUGUAACUUGAAAUUAAAUUAAUUUAACCCCUAAUUCUUUCAUUUAUUCAACAUAAUCAAUGUCUAGAAAUCUAAUAACUUCCAAAAUUUUGACAUAAAUCCAAUAAUACUUUGUUCUAGGAUUCCAAAAACAUCAAAACUAAGAGAAAAGGGAUUAAAUUGACUGACCAAAUUUUCCUUUUUCUUUUUCUUUCUUUCUUUUUCCUUCUUUCCUUUCUCUGUUUCGUUCUACUUCUCUGUUCUUUUUCUUUCUUUAUUUCCUUGUUUCUUUUAUUUCUUUACUUUAUAUUAUAAUAAUAAUAUAAUUACAAUAAAUAUCUAAUUAAUAACUAAUACAUAUAUUACAAAUGUAUACAUAUAUUUUUUUACACCUGUACUUAAUCUAUACCCUACACUUUCACAAAUUAAUUUAUUAAUCACAUAAAUAUCUUAUAAUUUAAUUAUUUAUCCAAUAAAUUUGUAUUUAAUAGACAAUAUAAAUAUUACAAUUGUAUAUAUUUAUCUUUUUACACAUUUGUUUAUAAUUACCACACACUUGUCACUUUUUAUUGUUUAAUUAUUAGUUUAGUCCUUUCACCUUUCUCUUUUCUAUAAUUAACUUUCACACUUAAUUCAAUUUAGUCCUAAUACAUAAUUAACUUUAAUUCAACUAAAUUCACUUAACUAAAAUCCAAUUGGUCUUAUAACUAAUUCUAUAAAUAUUUUUAAUAAUUAUUUUAAUAGUCCAUUUUACCAAAACAGAGACCUGAUAAUUCACUUUCCAAUACCUGCACUUUUUAGGUCGUUUCAAAAUUAAAAUCCCCCAAGUCCUAUAUAUUUUUUGUAAGUUUAGAAUUUAGUUUGUAUAUUUUUAUUUUUAAGAAAUUAGUUCCUAUAUUUUUUAAAUUUUAAAAUUCAAGUCCAACUGUUAACACUGUUAAAAUUAUUUUAUUAAAUUCAGGUUCAUUAAAAUGUCAUAUUCUUAGUUACAUGGCUACCAAGUAAGUAAAAUUUUUUUUAAAUCAAACUGUCACACUAACAAAUCCAACAAAAAAAAAUUUAACAGUAUUAACAAUUGGACCUGAAAUUUGAACUUUGAAAGUAAAAAAAUUAAAUUCCUAUAAAUACAAGUAUAAAGACUAAAUUUCAAAUUUAUGGCGAGUACAAGGACAUAUGGCAUAUUUUAACCUAAAAAAGGGUACCCUACUUUAGUAGUCAUCCAACUAAGUUUUUUUUCUUUUUCGGUCACUCAAUCAUGAAAAGUUACAAAAUAGUCUCCCAACGAUUCAAUUUUAUCAUUUUUAUCAUCAGUUGGCUAAUGAAAAAAUAGAAAACACCAAAAAAUCCAAGAUAAUUGGGUGAAAAAAAAGGAAAAAAAAUAAUAGUUUAUUGAUUAUUUUGUAACUUUUCAUAAUUAGGUAAAAGAAAUUACUAAUAAUUUGGUGAUCAUUUCGUAACUUUUUAAAUAGUUGAAUGACUUUUAAUAUAGUUUACCCAAAAAAGAAUAUUAACGGCGUCAAAUAGAAAAUGAGAAAACAAAUUUAAAACAAAGAUAAACAAAAUGAUGUACUUAACGAUGUUACUCCCUUCUUCUCCAACCAAAACGCCGUCGCUUUGUUCCUCAAACGUAAAACAUGGUGGGACCAUUUCCAACCAUAUUCUCAAUUUAUUAAUUAAUUUUUUAAAAUUAAUUUAUAAAUUCUAAAAUAUUUUAAUUAAGUUUUGAAAGUAUUAAUGUUAUAUCAAUAAAAUCAUUCUAUUUUUGUAGCUGUCAAUUUAGGUUUUAAAUUUCAGUUCUCAUUUGACAUGGAUUAAAUUGUAAAUACUUGUGUACUCAUCAUAUUGAUAACUUGAUUCUAACAUAUUAAAAACACGAAGAGAUUAUAAAAUUUAAGAGGAUUAUUUCUUCUUCUUCUUCUUUUUUUAACACAUUAGAUUAAACAAAAUGCACACUUUUAAGAUAUUAAAUUAAUGGAUUUUUAUAUUUGAUGUAUCAAAUAAUUAUAUUAUACACACAAUAAUAUCACUUCAUUAAAAAAAAUAAAAUUCACAUGCUGAUGUUGUUCUGGUCAAGGUUUUCAAAACUAGAUAGGUGGUCGAACCAAUCAUAUUAAUUGAUUUUUGGUCCAAUUUGUUUGUUCGAUUCAAUUGAAAUAGUUUAAUUUAAUUUAGGGUUUUUAGAUAUGGAAGUUUCAUAUUACAAUAAUUGAAUUUUGAAAAUUUUUAUAGAUUUUUUUAUAUUAUAUAUAUUAAUUUAUUUAAAAUGUUUUCAAAUUUAACUAAUCAUAGUUUGACAUGUGUCAUAUAUUAGUAAAAAUUGUCAACACCAAUCUUAAUUGUCCUUAUUUAUUCACCUUUGAAAACUACAUGGUUUCCAUUAAUCUGUUUUCACCGGCCUCAAAAAAUUGACAAUAGGAGAUUGCAAGGAGGUUGAUUUAGGAGGCAUGCAAUGGGAACCUCUUGGUUGGUGAUUGGUAAUAUUCCAAAGCUGGUGUCUCUCCCCCUUGGGCUUCAACAUCUUUUUCGAUUGAAAACAUUGGGAAUUCAUGAAUGCCAUGGAUUGAGGUCACUCUUACCUGUGUUCCAACAUCUCUCUUUCCUUGAAGAGUUUUCAAUAAGUAACUGCAAGGAGCUGGAGUUAUCUGCACCUAACUUCCAAAUAUUCCAAGAUCAUACAAGCCUGCGCUCUCUGGCGCUGGCAAAGAUUCCAAAGUGUCGCCAUCUUCCGGAGUGGCUUCAACAUCAAACAAAUCUGCCAAGGCUUAUUCUCUGUGAUUUGCCUAAUUUAACAUCGCUUCCGGACGAGAACCAGUUUGGAAGAGUUUUUUAUGAAACGAAUUCCUCAGUUGGAGGAAAGAUGUCGGAAGGGGAUUGGUGCCGAUUGGCAUAAGAUUGCUCAUAUCGCUACAGGUUGUUAUAUUGACUCUCCAACUACAGCCUCUUUUGCCAAAAUAGAACAAGCUUUUGGUGCAAUUUCUUCAUUUGUCAUUUUAUUUGGCUACUUUGUGCAGUAAGCAUCGAAGACUUUUAGUGAAACGAAUUUGGCAAUUUCAAGAAUUCAAAUGCAGAAAAAAAAAAGUGGUAAUCUAGCUAAUUGCUUUACGCUUUUAAAUUAUAUUAAUCUCAGCAUCGCAAUGAUCUGAUGAAAUCCUAUUGUGUAUACACAUUUGAAAAUGCAGCUUACACCAAAUACCAACAAGGAAUGACAGGUAAUUCAUGCCAUUCAUUUAUUUUCUAUUUGAUUCAAUAAAAUAAAAUUGAAUAAUUUAGAUUUAGUGUGAUGUAUUUUGGUGGUUCAUAUCUAUCAUUGUAGCGACCUAAAAAUUUGUCGAUGGGCGCUAAUCGAAUUGAUUGUUGAAAAUUUGAAAAUGGAAUUCCGAUUUCAUUUAAAAAGGGAGUCGCCACCGAUCUUUUUUCUAGGUGUGAUCGGACACCUAAUAAAUUCUCUUUUUUUAAAAGAAAAUUUAUUUUUCAAAUUUUCUGAAAAACAGUCAAUUUUAGGUCCACGUCAAAAUCCAGAGAAAAUUAGGGUUCGGGAGUCAGUUACGCGCGAGGAAGGUAUUAGCACCCUCGCGACGCCCAAAAUUGGUAUCUCGUUAAACGCGUGUUGUCUUCAUUUUCAAAAAUACGAGUUCAAUUUAAUAUUAGUCAUGAUUCAAUUGAAACAGGAGAAUUUUGAAACACAACAACCCUUUUUUUUGAAAACACGAAUUUUUUUUUAAAACGCAAGAAUUUUAGAAACACGAAAAAUUUUAAAAAAAAACACGAAAAAUUUGAAACACGAGAAUUUUUUCAAAACACGAAUUUUCUUUUUGAAACACAAAAAUUUUGAAAACACAAAAUUUUAUUUUGAAAACACAAAAUUUUAUUUUGAAAACACAAAAGAUUUUUUUUGAAAUACGGAAAUUUAUGAAACACGGUCAAUUUUUGAAAACACGAAAAUUUUUGAAAGACGGGAUUUUUUUUAAAAACACGAAAAUUUAUAAAACACGGAAAUUUUUUUCUGAAAACAAGAAAAUUUUCGAAAAACGAGAAUGUUUGAAAACACGGGAAAUUUUUGAAAACAUGAAAAUUUUUGUUACACUAGAAUUUUGAAAACACGAAGAUUUUUGAAACAUGAGGAUUUUUGAAAACACGAAGCUUUUUGAAACAUGAGAAUUUUUUGAGAACAUGAAAACACGAAAAUUUGUCAAACACGGGAAUUUUUUAAAAACACGAUAACAUCAAAGAGUAUUCAAGAGAGUUUUUUGAAACACGGAAUUUUUUUUUCGCAAAAAGUGAAGAUUUUUUGAAAUACGAGAAAUUUUUGAAGAUAUAAAAAUUUUUGAAACACGAUUUUUCUUUAAAAAAUACCGUAUUUAACACGAAUCGAUGAUAUUCAUCCCGAUAUGGCGAUGAAACCAUCGAAUUAGUGUUAACUCAAUUCAAUUUAACAUUUAAUCGGGAUUCUAUUAAAACACGAGAAAUUUUUAAAUACGGGGAUUUUUGAAUUUUUUUAUUUUUGAAAGGGCGUCCCGAAUUUAAUACGAGCUAUCGAUAUUCACCCAACAUAGCGAUGAAUUCGGCGACUCGAUGCUAAACCGAUUCGUUGCCUUAUUUAUUAAAAUAAUUUUUAUUUCAUUUUUUUAUUUGCAAAUAAAGCCACUCUAAUAUUACUAAAAAAACUAUUUAAAAUAUGCUAAUUAAAUUUAAAUGAAAUAAUAUUUAAAUAAAUGAAGCUAAAUUAAAAAAUUUAAGGAAAUUACCAAAAAGCCCCAAAGUGGUGGGCCCUUUUCUUUUUUCCUUUUUUUUCUUUUUUUUCUGCUGGAUGUCGGGCCUGGGCGUUGGGCCAAAGGGAGGCCUGCUUGGCCUGCUGCUGCUGAGCCUGGGGCUUGCUGCUGCUGGGCCUUCGCUGGGCCUGCGCAAAAGGGGCCUGCUUCCUUUUUCUCUUCUUCUGCUGGGCUGUUACUGCUAUUGGGCCUGCUGCUUAUUUUUUUUUCUGGUUCUUUUUUUUGCUUGGGCCUGGGUGUUUUGCUGCUGGAUCCUGCUGUUUGGAGAGGGCUGUUGGAGCGCGGGUCGGGUCGGGAUGGCUCCGAGGGUCGGGUGGUCGGGUCGGGUUGACCCGAUUGACUUUAAAAUUUUUUUUUUCUUUCUCUUUUUCUUUUUUCUUUUUCUUCUCCCUUUUUCUUCUUCUUUUUUCUUUCUUCUUUCUUCUUCUUCGGGCCGCACCUUAACCCCACGUGCGCCUUUGAGGGCGUUUCCUCCACCUGGUACGACGGCCGGUGGUGGCACGGUGGCGAUGAAGGGACGACUGGGCUUUCUUUUUGGACCUUUUUUUUGCUUUUUUUCUUGUUUUUUUGCUGCUGCGUUUUUGUUUUGCUUCUCUUUUUGUUUCAAUUUCUCUUGGCUUCUAGGUGGUGGUACGGUGGCUGCGGUGGCGGGUAGUGGCACGACGGCGGCGAGGGCUGUUGGGCUGUUAUUGUUUGGAUUUUUUUUUGAAUUUUCUCUGCACUUUUUCUCCUUUUUUUUUUCGAUUGCCCCCCCUUCUUCUCUUCCAUUUUCCUCUUUUAAUCUUACCAUUUUUGGCUUCUAUUCCUUUGUCUGCAGGUGGCUAGGGGAAGGAAGGCCAUGCAUUGGGGGUGGCAGGCGUGGCAAGCGGGGCACGCAAGAAUGCUGGUUGGGGGCAGUCUUGUCAUGCCCAGAAGGACCAAAAUGUAAAGGGUGUAAAAUUUCCAGGGUAAAAAUGUAAUUUCAGGAAAAUAUGGGGCCAAAAUGUAAAUUUUGAAAAGUUCGAGGGCUAAAAUGCCAUUUAUUUUUUUGUAUUUUUUUAAAUUUUAUUAUGACUAUUUAAUUAAUAUUUAAAAUUAUUAUAAAAAUAAAAAUAAAAAUGGGCUAAAGCCCAAACAAGCUUAAAAUCUAAUUACUUAAAACCCAAUUACCCAAACCCCAAAGGCCCAACCAUUGGACCCAAUCAUUAAGCCCAAAUGAGGCCAAUCCCACAAAAUUAUUUAAAAAAAAACAUAUAUAUAAAAUGAAAUAAAAUAAAAAAAAACACGAACUACAGACCGGACAAAAUUCAGUGAUUACAAUAAUUUCAUAGCUUCUAAUACUUUAAUUCUAAAAAAUCUUUAUUGGUACCCAAUGGACAUUUUCCAAAAUGCUUGCAUGCCAGCCUUCAAUAUGCUUCUACUUCAUGCUCUGCUUUGUUCAUUUUCCAAUUUUAAAUCUUAAUCAUAUGUAUAUACAAUUUUAUGUUUUAUCUUGAAAUUUUUGAUCUUUUUACCCUUAUUUUUGUUAGCUUUUGGCUCUAUUCUUCUGCAGAGCAUAGCAUGCAAUACAAAAAGCAGAGACCAUAUUUUCUACCCUCAUAUGUUUAUCUGCCCACAUAUUCGAUUGGCGUGUAUUUUUCUGAAAGGCAUUUGACAACUUUAAGAAUUUAGAUGCAGGCAAAUAGGUGGUAAUUACUUAAUUGCUUUACAUUUUUAAAAUCAUAAUAAUCUCAUAAUUUCAAAUGAUCUAAUAUAACCUCGUAACUAAGCUGCUUCCUUUUCAGCAUGAGUUCAAUGGAAGAGCCAAAAAGCAGGACAUGCAUUCUUCAUCAGCUGAUCUGUCCAUGGUAUUGUGUGUUGAAAGGUCAACAAAGGUAGGAAGCAACUUGUUAAAAAGGUUGAGCAAGUUGCACCGAAUGUUGAAAAGUUGAAUGGGAUAAUUGCAAUUUUGGUCCCUAAUUUUUUAGGCCAUUUGCAAGUUAGUCCCUGAACUUCAACUAUAAAUAGGCCUUUUCAUUUUUCAUUUCAACAAUCCCAACCAAUCUUUCUCUCUUAGUUUUCUCUCUUCUCCCAUUUGAGAAUUCUUAAGGAAUUCUAUUUGUUUGUAAUAUUUUGAAGAUAGUAAAGUUAUCAUCUGGUGUUAGUGCCCGAGGACGUAGGUAUAAUUUACCGAACCUCGUUAAAACUCUUGUGUUCUUUCUUGUCCUAUUUUUCUUUCAAUAUUUGAGGGUAUAAUAGUAGUAUUUAAUUGUGCUAUUAAAUUACUAUAGAAGGGAUAUUCUGACUAAGGAAAGACUUGGUAUUUAAGAGAUCCAUGUGAUCCACCUCUCUUCCCUGGGAAUUGAACUUUGUGUGAUUUUUUAGUACAAUAAUUUACACGCUUCCGACCCUAUUGGAACAAAAAGUGGUAUCAAGAGCCGAAGGUUAAGCGUAGUAUGCUCUGUGGUUGCAGUUUAAACUGAUCUUCCACAUCAGAAAAGAUUUCCUUAGGUAUAUUGAAAGAUUAUGGAGAAAACGGUCGGUGUAGGAGCUUCAACAUCGUCCAUGUGGACAAGACCGACAAUUGCAAAUGCAAGACUGGCCGUGGAGAUCUUUGAUGGCACAGGCCAUUUUGGUAUGUGGCAAAGUGAGGUUCUAGAUGCCCUUUUUCAGCAGGGUCUAGACAUUGCCAUUGAUGAAGAGAAACCAGAUGAUGUACAGGAGAAAUAUUGGAAGGCGAUCAAUCGGUUGGAAUGUGGCACAAUUCGAUCAUGCCUUUCUCGAGAGCAGAGGUAUGCUUUUUCAAAGGAGACUUCUGCAAAUAAGUUGUGGGUGGCACUUGAAGAAAAUUUUUUGAAGAAAAACAGUCAAAAUAAGCUCCACUUGAAGAAAAGACUGUUUCGCUUCACAUACGUCCCAAGUACCAGAAUGAAUGAUCACAUCACCAAAUUUAAUCAGUUAGUCACUGAUUUGCUGAAUAUGGAUGAGACAUUCAAAGAUGAAGAUUUGGCUUUGAUGCUGUUGGGGUCACUUCCUGAGGAGUUUGAGUUCCUAGAAACUACUCUACUUCAUGGCAGGAGUGAUAUAUCUCUGAGCGAAGUCUGUGCGGCCUUAUACAGUUAUGAACAGAGAAAGAAGGACAAACAGAAAAACUCAAUCAGAGAUACAGAAGCUUUAGUAGUCCGAGGUCGUUCAUACACUCGGAAGAAAACUCAAAAGGGGAGAUCAAAGUCAAAGUCCAGACUCGGGAAAGAUGAAUGUGCUUUUUGUCAUGAGAAAGGCCACUGGAAGAAAAAUUGUCCAAAGCUGAAGAAUAAGGGAAAAGCUGUUGUAGAUGCUUGUGUUGCAAAGCAUGAUACUAGUGACUCUGAACUAUCACUGGUUGCAUCAUCAUCGUCGUUCCAUUCAGAUGAGUGGAUAUUGGAUUCGGGUUGUACCUAUCAUAUGUCCCCUAACCGGGAGUGGUUCUUUGAUUUAGUAGAACUAAAUGGAGGAGUUGUUUAUAUGGGCAAUGACAAUACCUGUAAAACUGUUGGGAUAGGUUCAAUCCAAUUAAAGAAUCAAGAUGGAUCAACCAGAGUUCUGACUGAUGUUCGGUACGUGCCCAGUUUGAAGAAAAAUCUCAUCUCAUUGGGAGCCUUGGAAUCCAAUGGUUCAGUUGUUACUAUGAGAGAUGGGAUUUUGAAAGUGACAUCUGGCGCACUUGUGAUAUUGAAGGGCAUCAGGAAAAAUAACUUGUAUUACUACCAAGGUAGUACAGUUAUUGGAGCAGUCGCUACAGCUUCCGGUAACAAAGAAUUGGACUCAAUGCAGUUGUGGCAUAUGAAGUUGGGACAUGCCAGCGAAAAAUCCUUACAAAUUCUGGCAAAGCAAGGAUUGUUGAAAGGUGCAAAGGCUUACAAAUUAAAAUUUUGCGAGCAUUGUGUUCUGGGAAAGCAAAAGAGAGUGAAAUUCGGUACUGCUAUCCAUAAUACAAAAGGUAUUUUGGAAAAUGUUCACUCAGAUGUGUGGGGGCCUUCCAAGACACCUUUAUUGGGAGGAAAACACUACUUUGUUACUUUUGUUGAUGACUUUUCCAGAAGAGUUUGGGUGUAUACCAUGAGAACUAAGGAUGAAGUGCUUAAAGUUUUUCUUAAAUGGAAAACUAUGAUCGAAAACCAGACUGGCAAGAAAAUCAAGCGGCUUAGGACGGACAAUGGAGGGGAAUAUAAAAGUGAUCCGUUCUUCGAUGUGUGCCAAGAGUAUGGUAUUGUUCGACACUUCACAGUUAGGGAUACACUACAGCAGAAUGGAUUGGCAGAGCGUAUGAAUCGAACAUUGCUUGAGAAAGUUCGAUGUAUGUUGUCCAAUGCUGGGUUAGGCAAGCAAUUUUGGGCUGAGGCUGUGACAUACGCUGGCCAUCUUGUUAAUCGUUUGCCAUCAUCUGCAUUAGAAAGAAAAACUCCUAUGGAGGUAUGGUCUGGAAAACCGGCUACAGAUUAUGAUUCCUUACAUGUGUUUAGAUCCACUGCAUAUUACCAUGUGAAGGAGUCAAAGUUAGAUCCGAGGGCAAAGAAAGCUCUCUUUAUGGGAAUCACUUCUGGAGUGAAGGGAUUUCGUCUUUGGUGCUUAAGCACAAAGAAAAUGAUCUGUAGCAGAGAUGUUACCUUUGAUGAAUCUGCCACAUUGAAAAAGGUAGCAGAUAAAGAUAUUCAGACGAGCAAUACUCCACAACAGGUGGAGUGUACUCCAAAACAGGUGGAGUUUGAGCAGAUGGGGAUUUGCCCAGUUAAUAAGUCUAAUUCUCCAGCCACAAUGGAGGAAUUAGAGGUUGAAGAGGUUCUGACCCAAGAACCACUAAGUACACCAGAACCAGUUGCAGUUGCAAGGCCACGGAGAGAAAUUCGUAAACCUGCUCGAUUUACUGAUAUGGUGGCCUACGCCCUUCCCGUUGUUGAUGAUAUUCCUAUCACUUAUCAAGAAGCAAUGCGAAGCUUAGAAAGUGAUAAAUGGAAAAGUGCCAUGGAUGAAGAAAUGCAGUCUCUCUUGAAGAAUAAUACUUGGGAAUUGGCGCAAUUACCGAAAGGUAAAAGGGCAAUCGGAUGCAAGUGGGUAUUCGCAAAGAAAGAUGGAUCUCCUAGCAAGAAGGAUAUUCGCUACAAGGCAAGAUUGGUAGCUAAAGGCUACGCUCAGAAGGAGGGAAUUGACUACAAUGAUGUAUUUUCCCCUGUUGUGAAACAUUCCUCCAUUAGAAUUUUGUUGGCCUUGGUAGCACAGUUGAAUUUGGAGCUAGCUCAACUUGAUGUUAAGACGGCUUUCUUGCAUGGUGAGUUAGAAGAGGAGAUCUAUAUGACUCAGCCCGAAGGAUACACAGAUGCUGGUGGUAGAAAUUGGGUUUAUAAGCUGAACAAAUCGCUAUAUGGAUUGAAGCAAUCCCCGAGGCAGUGGUACAAGCGAUUUGAUAGCUUUAUGAGAAGGCAGAAGUACACAAGAAGCAAAUAUGACAAUUGUGUAUAUUUGCAGAAGCUGCAUGAUGGAUCUUUCAUUUCUCUACUCUUGUAUGUUAAUGAUAUGUUAAUCGCUUCGAAGAGCCAAAAUGAGAUAGAUAAGCUGAAGGCUCAGUUGAAUCAAGAGUUCGAGAUGAAAGAUCUAGGUGAGGCCAAGAAGACUCUCGGCAUGGAGAUAAGUAGAGAUAGACCGAGAGGCAAACUCUGUUUAAAUCAGAAGUAAUAUCUGAAAAAGGUAUUACAAUGUUUUGGUGUAAAUGAAAACACAAAACAUAUAAGUACCCCACUUGCUUCUCAUUUGAAACUUAGUGCUCAAUUAUCUCCGAAGACUGAAGAUGAAAGAGAAUAUAUGGCGAAAGUCCCAUAUGCUAAUGCAGUUGGGAGUUUGAUGUAUGCGAUGGUGUGUACGAGGCCUGACAUUUCACAAGCUGUUGGAGUUGUGAGCAGGUAUAUGCAUGAUCCUGGAAAAGGACAUUGGCAAGCUGUGAAAUGGAUUCUACGGUAUCUUCGAAAAACCGUAGAUGUUGGUUUAAUUUUUGAACAGGAUGAAGCACUUGGUCAGUUUGUAGUUGGAUAUGUUGAUUCCGACUUUGCUGGUGAUUUAGAUAAACGUCGUUCAACUACGGGGUAUCUGUUUACUCUUGCGAAAGCCCCAGUGAGUUGGAAGUCUACCUUACAGUCUACAGUAGCUGUGUCUACUACAGAGGCAGAAUAUAUGGCAGUUACAGAAGCUGUUAAGGAGGCUAUUUGGCUUAAUGGAUUAUUGAAAGACUUGGGAGUUGUUCAAAGUCACAUUAGUCUAUAUUGUGACAGUCAGAGUGCUAUUCAUUUAGCGAAAAAUCAAGUCUAUCAUUCAAGAACCAAGCAUAUCGACGUAAGAUAUCACUUUGUGCGGGAAGUCUUUGAAAAAGGAAAAAUUCUACUUCAGAAGAUUCCGACAGCAGAUAAUCCCGCAGAUAUGAUGACCAAAGUGGUAACAACAAUCAAGUUUAAUCAUUGUUUGAACUUGAUUAACAUCCUGAGAAUUUGAGCACCUACAGGUGUAUGGCGCUCGAGAGCGCAUUUAGAGGCACUACAAAAGAUAACUUUAUCGAAUUUGGGGAGUUGAAGGAAGUGUGUGAAGAUGUGAUUAUCCUAAUCAAAUCUUCAAGGUGGAGAUUGUUGAAAGGUCAACAAAGGUAGGAAGCAACUUGUUAAAAAGGUUGAGCAAGUUGCACCGAAUGUUGAAAAGUUGAAUGGGAUAAUUGCAAUUUUGGUCCCUAAUUUUUUAGGCCAUUUGCAAGUUAGUCCCUGAACUUCAACUAUAAAUAGGCCUUUUCAUUUUUCAUUUCAACAAUCCCAACCAAUCUUUCUCUCUUAGUUUUCUCUCUUCUCCCAUUUGAGAAUUCUUAAGGAAUUCUAUUUGUUUGUAAUAUUUUGAAGAUAGUAAAGUUAUCAUCUGGUGUUAGUGCCCGAGGACGUAGGUAUAAUUUACCGAACCUCGUUAAAACUCUUGUGUUCUUUCUUGUCCUAUUUUUCUUUCAAUAUUUGAGGGUAUAAUAGUAGUAUUUAAUUGUGCUAUUAAAUUACUAUAGAAGGGAUAUUCUGACUAAGGAAAGACUUGGUAUUUAAGAGAUCCAUGUGAUCCACCUCUCUUCCCUGGGAAUUGAACUUUGUGUGAUUUUUUAGUACAAUAAUUUACACGCUUCCGACCCUAUUGGAACAACAUUGUGCUCCCCUAAAUCCUCCUCUCUAUGCACAUUUGUUCUUUCUUUUUCUUUGUUGAAGAGUCGAUCUGUAUGCAUUCUUCAUCAGCUGAUCUUACUGUAUUGUUUCUCCAAAACAAUAGGGAAAGAAAAGGGAAAGAGACUUACUGUUCUUUGUCAAGCUCAGAGGUUCAUUUGAAAUUUUAGAGGAUUUAGGUAAAACUAUUAAAUUCAAAAAAUAGUCCCAUUUAAAAUAUGAGUCGAGCUUGAAUUUGAAUAUUUAAAGCCUAAGUUUGGCCCGACCCAAUUUUUAAGUUUGCAAUAUUUUAUAUUAUGUUAAUUUUAUAUGUUAUGUAAUUUGUAACAAAUAAAAAUAAAAAUUAUAAUACUAUUAUAAUCUUAAGAUGACUAUAUAUAAAAUUUUAAUAAAAAUGUAAAAAUAUUAAAUAUUAAGUUAAAAAUAAUAUAAAUUCAUUUAAAUUUUUUUAAAAAUAGUAUGAGUGGAUUUAAAAUGAGUUUGAGUUAACUGUUUACAAAUUUGAACAGACUUUAAGUUUAUAUUUUGGACCAGGCUGAACCUAAACAAAUAUAAAAUAAAAUAUAAAUAUUUUCAUUUUUUUAAAUUCUCUAUUAUAUUUUGGCAUAAUGAUUUAUUUAACCUUCUAAAUUUAUGAAAAAAUCAAUUUAGUCCUUAAACUUGCAUGGCAUACACAUGGAUGCCACAUUAGCAAUUAACUAAUGUUCUAAAUAUAAAAAUUUUAAAAAAGUAUACAACUUAUUAAAAGUUUUAAAAAGUAUAAAAAUUAUUAAAAACUAUUUUAAAUUUUUAAAAAAAAAUUAAUCAAUUGCUAAUGUAGCAUACACAUUGGCUUCCAUGUGGAAGCCACAUCAGCAAAGUUAAUAAUUUAGUAUAAGAAAAUCUUUUAUGUCCAGUUUGGUGCAAUAAAAUCAAGUGAUAUUAGUUUAAUUCGAUUAUAUUUUUUUAUCCAUCCAUUAUAAUUUAGUUUAGUACGAUUUUUUAUUAUAAAUUUUUAUAAUUAUUUUAAUAAAAUAAACUUUAUUUUACGGCUUUUAAAUAUCAUUUGACAAAUUUUCAAAGUUUUUUUCAUAGAUUUUUUUAAAAUUAUUUUAAGUAGAUAAAAAUAAUUAAAUACUUUUUAACCCAUUUUGGAUGGUUUGACAAAAAAAUAUAAGUUCAAAGACUAAAAGAAAAUGAAAGUAAAUAGAGAGCUAAAAUAAUUCUUUUAUAAAGUUGGAAUGCCAAAAAAGUUAUUAUACUUUCAUUUUUCAAAAUAAUUAAUAAACACUUUAAACAUAAGUGCAUCUACAUUUGCUUCGUGAUUGUUCUUUCUAUAAAUUCACGAUAAUCAAGUUAAACAAGUAAUUUAGUGAGGUUAAGUAUUGUAACAGUGAGAUUAAAGUUAAUUGUAGAAUAUGUAUUUGAAUUCAAAUGUAAAUAUAUCGAUAAAAUGAGAAUAAAAAAUCACUAUUAAAGCGGAAUUAGAUGCCCUCAUCGAUGGUUUUUGGCGGCUUGCUCAAUUUCUUAAAGCCAAUAAUGUCAUUUUUGAAACAGAUUGUGCUAGCAUUGUCAACCGCUUUAGUUUUCACAAGGAGGACAUAACGAUCGUUGAUCACUGCAUCAAGGAGCUCACAAAAUGCUUAAUUCUUUUGUUUCUUUCGAGGUCAAAUGGGUGAAACGUGGUUAUAACAAAUUAGCCGAUUCUCUUUGUAAUUGGGCUCUUUCUAAGUGUAGUAAUUUAUCUUUUGAGAUGAAUUAUCCUAACGAUCGAUAUUCAUAACGUUGUAAUUUAUGAUGCAACUUAAAAUGAGAUAGUGACCUUUGGGUUUUUUUUAUAAAAAAAACAGUAUUAAAUAUAUUAAGUUAAAAUACAUGUAUAUGUAAAAUAAAUGAUUAAAAAUAUAUUUAAAAAUAAAAUAUCUUAAAUAAACAAAUCAAAAUCAUUCAACUCACAAUAAAACAAUUAUAUGUGUAUUAAAAUAAUUAAAUAGAUAUGAGCAGUGGAAGCAAUCUUCAUGAUGGUAUUAAGUAAUGAUUUUUCCUUCAAUACCAAUUAAAUACACAUUCCCAUGGAGCUGACAUAAACCCAAUAUCUUUCCACAUGUUGUACAUGUUCAAAAACGAAAUUAAUUUUUCUUUUGUUGGCAAUAGUAGCCGAGCUAAAAAUUUUUUUACUCGGAAUUAAAUUAUAUAUUUUUAUAGUAAUGUAUUUUUAUAAUUUUUAAAGAGUUAAAUUAAAUUUUUAUAAUUUUUUUAGAUGAUCAAAUUAUAAUUUUAUCACUAUUAAUUUAAAAUUUUAUAAAUUAUAAAAUGUCUAAAUUAAAAAUUUAUCAUUUUAGGAGUCUCUACUAGGCUUCGCAGGUGAUAGCGCAACUUGUCAAGAAUGACCAUCCAAGCUAUAACAAAAUGUUUUGGGAUAUGCUAAAUCAACCUCUUACAUUUUACUUUGAUAUAUUACAUAGACAAGCAAUUAUAUUAAUCCAAUGUAAAAAAAUAUAUGUAUGCAUUUUUUUUACAUAUGUACAGUUGAAUCAGAAUUAAAAUUAAUAGCAAAUAUAAUUAACAUACCCAUUAAUAUAAAAAGAUUUAAUAAUAAGGGUAUACUAAAAUAGUAAUGAACAGUAACUAUUGUCGUAAUAUAUAAUUAUAGACACCAAGUUACUUUAAAAGACAAAAUCAAAGCUAAGUAGGUAGGUGAGAAAUGUGAACAUGAUAAUCACUUGUAAGUUAAUUGAAUUCGAUUCAAAAAAGAUUUAAAUUUGAUUUAGUAGUCAUUAAGUUAUGUUUAAAUUAUUGAUUUAAUCGGAUUGGGAUUUAAUAAAAUUUGAUUCUAAUGGUGAAUGAGUUUUAUUGAAUUUUUUAUUUUAUAUAUUCAACCAAAGUUAAACUCAAAAAUAAAAUAUUGAAUUUAAGUUAAACUCGCGCAAUUACACAAAGUAAGUGGGAAGAAGGUUUAGAAAGGCUUCAAUCAAAACACCUUGGAUUCCAUGGGAUUUGUCGCCUUUUUCUCUUUUCUUUCGUAGCCUUUUCAUUAAUUUCAAUUAUUUGUACGGCUCCACAUUGUGCAGAGCAUUGAGAAAUUUCUCAUCAUCCCAACUUUGUCUCCAUUCAGAAAUUUGUGUCACAUGGAGGGACAUUUCCCACCAAUCAACAUGACUUUAACUUGGAGGGACCAUUUCCCACCAAUCAACAUGACUUUUUAUUUAAUUAUACUACUUGCUGGGUGGAUGGAUCCACAUCUGUGCUUCAUCUUGUUGGAAUCAUUCUCAUUUUAGUUCUCCUCUUUCACGAAUCAAACACUUUUUGCCUUGAUUUCAGUUUGAACCAACCAUGGCCGAAGCAAUUGCUUCCGUCAUUGCCGCAGAGCUCAUUAUUAAGUUGAGCUCUCGUGCUCUCUCUCAAGUUGGGCUGUGGUGGAAUCUCAAACAUGACAUCCACGAUCUCAGACGCACUGUCUGUCAAAUCAAAGCUGUGCUUCUUGACGCAGAAGAGAAAUCGGUGACCGACAAUCUCGUCAAAGUUUGGCUUGAAGAGCUGAAAGAUGUACUUUAUGAGGCCGACGACUUGCUCGAUGAUUUCUCUACUGAAGCUUUGCGGAAAGAUGUAUCGGGUGGGAACAAGCUGACGAAAGAGGUACGCCUUUUCUUCUUAACCUCAAACCAAUUUGCUUAUGGUCUCAAAAUGGGUCGGAAAAUGAAGGCCAUUAAGGCGAGAUUAGCUUCAAUUGAAAGGGAGGCCAACACUUUUGGCUUCAUUCCUCGUGAUCGCCCCGCGGAAACCUCUUUCAUGACAAAAAGGAGGCAGCAAACGCACUCUUUUGAGCUUGAAGAUGACAUAAUAGGGAGGGAUGAUGAUAAAGCAGCUCUUCUAAAACUCGUGUUGGAGUUUCAAAGUGAAGAGAAUGUUUAUGUCAUUCCAAUUGUGGGGUUUGGAGGGUUAGGGAAGACUGCUUUGGCCCAACUUGUCUAUAACCAUGAAAUGGUCAAAAAUCAUUUCGACUUAACGAUGUUUGCGUGUGUUUCAGAUGAUUUUGAUGUGAAAGUUAUUGUAGCAAACAUUAUCAAAUCUGUGACUAAUCAAGCACCUGAUCAAAAUCUUGAAAUGGAUCAAUUGCAAAAACAACUUCGAGAUAAAAUUGAUGGGAAAAAAUAUUUGCUUGUUUUGGAUGACAUUUGGAAUCAGGACCCAGAGAAGUGGUCUAGGCUAAAGAAGUUAUUGAUGGGUGGGGCUAAAGGGAGUAGGAUAAUAGUAACUACUCGAUCUCUAAGGGUAGCGGAGAUAAUUAAUAAAUGUCAAUCCCAUGUUUUGAAAUUGAAAGGCUUGUCUGAUGAUGAUGCUUGGUCUUUGUUCAGAAAGAUAGCAUUUGAACAAGGAUAUGCAGACUCAACAAAUUCAGCCUUUGUGGAAGUAGGGAAACAGAUUUCGGAAAGGUGUGGUGGGGUUCCCUUAGCCAUAAGGACGAUAGCUGGUACAUUAUCUUUGAAGAAAACUGCAAAUGAGUGGCAUUCUUUCAAAGAAAAUGAACUUGCUAAAAUAUCACAAAUUGAAGGAGAACUUCUACCUAUACUGAAAUUGAGUUAUGAUCAUCUCCCGUCUCAUUUGAAGCAUUUCUUUGCUUAUUGCCGAUUGUAUCCAAAAGAUUACAGAAUUAAAGUACAAGAGCUUGUUCAAAUUUGGAUUGCACAGGGUUUCAUAAAGCAAUUGAAUCAAAGUCAAUCUCUGGAGGAGAUCGGGUUUGGGUAUUUUAAAGAUUUAGUUGAAAUAAGUUUCUUCCAAGAAGUAGGAGAAAGAUAUUCAAGGGAAGGGCUAACAUGUAAAAUGCAUGAUUUAAUGCAUGAUGUAGCUGAAUCAGUAGCAGGGAUGGAGAGUAGUAUUGUAGAUUCAAAUAAAAUUGCAAGUGAUGUUGGUGAAAAAUGGCGACACAUAUCAAUUAAACCUUCAUUAAUUCCUUUGUUUAAGGGAAAGAAGUUGCGAACCUUGUUACAUUUUCAAGACAAAAUAAGUCAAGAUUUCAGCUAUGAAACUUGGGAUUUGAUAAUUGCAAAUUGUAGAUGCUUGCGUGUAUUGAAAUUGAAUUCUAUAGGUAUUCAAAAGAUUUCACCCUCCAUUUGUAAGUUGAAACAUUUGAGGUACCUUGAUCUUUCUUGGAAUUUCAAUAUUAAGAUUCUCCCAGAGAGUAUUUGCAAGAUUCAGAAUUUGCUAGCGCUGAAACUUGAUGGGUGUGAUGGGCUUAAAGAAUUGCCAAAGAAGAUUGAAAAAUUGGUGAAUCUUACCCAUCUUGAGUGUGAACAUUGUAUUAGUUUAACUCAUAUGCCACGUGGAAUAGGGAAGCUGACUUCACUUGAGACGUUAAGCAUGUUUGUAGUGGAUAAAGAUGGGUCCCAUGGCGGUGCAGAUCUAAGUGAAUUGAGACUGCUUAACAACUUAAGGGGAGGGUUAGGAAUAACAAAUUUGGGAUUCGUAAAAAAUGCAAAAGAGAAGUUUAAGGCUGCUAAUUUGAAAGAGAAGCAACAUUUGAGAUGGUUGGGUUUACAAUGGAAAUUUGAUUCUGAUGAUGAAGAUGAUGAUGAUGAUGAUGAUGAGAAGUCACUUGAAGACCUCCAGCCCCAUCCUAAUCUCAAGGAGCUCUGUAUUGAAAGAUGGAGGGGUGAUGCCAAGUUUCCAAGUUGGCUUCCUUUGCUCACAAAUCUCGUCAAAAUUUUCACAAGUGGUGGUAAUUUCAGACAAAUCCCGUCCUUUGCGCAAUUUCCUUGUCUUAAAGGGCUGACUAUAGAUGAUUGUACUAAGCUGGAGUACAUGGAUGAUAAUAGCCCAAAAGGAAGUCAAGGAGAACCACAAUCAUUCUUCCCAUCACUGAAGCAUCUUUCGCUCUGGAACUGUCCGAAUAUGAAGAGUUGGUGGAGGACGACAAAACCAAUCGAUGAUGAUUCCAACGAGGACGACACAACAGUUAUGGGAACAUCAACCAUGGCAUUUCCUAGUCUUUCCUCUUUAGGCAUUCAAAAUUGCCCUUUAAUUUUAAUGCCACUGUAUCCAUCACUCGAUGAAGGUCUAAUGUUGUUCUAUACCAGUUCAAGGCCGUUAAAGCAGACUAUCAAAAUGAACAUCAAUGCUAAGGCCCCAUCAACUUCAACCUCUUCUCUUCCACUCUCCAAAUUGAAAUCUUUCCAUGUAUACAACAUUGAGGGGUUGGACACUCACACGCUAGAUGAGUGCCUGCAACAUCUCACCAGCCUCAAAAGAUUAACAAUAAGAGAUUGCAAGGAGGUUGAUU
rnacentral:lncRNA from 1 species